ACACUUGCCUCGCCGACCGCCAUUUCACAUCCAGCAGAGGAGGCGGGGGCAGCCGCUGAGACGGUUUUUCACAAGGAAAUGACCUCAUUCUUGAUGGCUGCUGCUAACUUAUGUAUUCCCACGAGCAUUCUGCUGAGAUGAACAAUCAGAUGACCUCGUGUGAGAUUUGGAGGAGAGAAGGAAAUGGAGAGCAUGCGUCUGCCGCUUCUGUGGUUUCUGUCGGUAAGCACAGUGAUGAGGUGCUGAGUUUUCCCCAGAAGGCCUCCCAGUGUCCUAUUACCAGCUUCACAAGCGUCGAGGGCAGGGCAUGGGCAUCUAUUGUUCACCAGUGGAGAUCUAUCUGGCACAGAACCGAUCCAACCAUUGCAGUGGUCACAGCGGUGUUGGCUUUCUGAUUCUCAACCUUCCUGACCGCCAGAGGAGACAGCCUCUUUGGUGGCCCUGUUCUGUGGUAUUGUGCUAACCGGUGGUGGGACUAAAACUGUCUCUAUAAUGUUUUAUUUCUUAAAAAAAAAUUCUGAAGCAAAUGUGACAAUAUGUUAACAUUCUUAAAAUCUGGGUAGUGGGAACAUGGAUGUUGUUAUUUGUGGUGUGUUUGAAAUUGUGUCAUAUUAUAAAUUUUAAAAAAAUGUUUUGACUACAAAAUCUCUAUGUAUAUGCCCAGUUUUUGUAGAUUGUUGCUUACGCUUUUCAUAUUUUUACCCAAGGAGUAAUCAGGAAUUCUAAAAGUCUUAUGUAACAGGAUU
rnacentral:lncRNA from 1 species